ACGGGAGUAGCUCAGUUGGUAGAGCUUCAGCCUUCCAAGCUGAUUAUCGUCUCGAGAUCUCGGGAUCUCCCGCUCUA
rnacentral:tRNA from 1 species